rnacentral:misc_RNA from 1 species
UGGAGAGCCAAUCUGUCGCGCCAGCUGAAGGAGCUCCGCUUCCUCUUCUGCCAGACCUCGCCGGCGAGCUCCCAGACUCGGGAGUUCGUGCUCAAGAAUUACACAGAUCUGAAGACUCAGAAUCCGAAGUUCCCGAUCCUGAUCCGCGAGUGCAGCGGGAUUGAGCCUCAGCUGUGGGCGAGAUACGAUAUGGGCGUUGAGAGAUGCGUCCGCUUGGAUGGUUUGAGCGAAUCUCAGAUCAACCAGAAACUGGAGGAGCUUGUCAAGGCCGGAGAACCGAUUAAGGGUUGAUGGUGGUACUUCCAUAGAGAAUUCCCGUUGAAAUAAAACAGGAUGUUGG